rnacentral:tRNA from 1 species
GCGCCCGUAGCUCAACGGACAGAGCGCCUGCCUUCGAAGCAGUAGGCUGCAGGUUCGAGCCCUGCCGGGCGCGCCA